CUCUCCAUACCUGGAUUAAUUUUCAGUAAUGGAAUGACUGGGUCAAAGGAGAUCAACAUUGCUGUGGCUCUUUCAGGUUCUCUUAAAUUCCAUGGAUUUUAACUUUGGCCCAUGACCUCCUUGACCUCUGGAAAUGUGACAUCCUGCACCUGCUGCAUCAGGGCUCUUCCCUGGUCUUGCCUACACUUGUGUCUACACAGCUUGAUAAACCAGAGGGAUAGUCUGAGAGAGAAACUGAAGGUCAAAAUCAACGCAGUGGUGCCGAACAGAAGGGCCCGAGGUGCGAUGAGUAUAAUAUGAACACGAAGGAAAACAGCGAGUUCAGAAGCCUGGAGAAUCAGAAGCAGGUCAAGCGCUGGGGUUCAGGGCAAAGACCCUGAACACUGUGAAGGUGUUGGAGACCUGUUUUGAGGUGGCACUGCGGCUCAAUGUGAGUGCAGACCUGAGAGAUUAAAGUGCCUACGAAGGGCCAAAUACCUGUCCCUUCAUGACAUGA
rnacentral:lncRNA from 1 species